CAAGCCACUAUGGUCAAAAUUUGUCUUCAAAGAGAUUCAUGGAAAAGACUCCAACAAGUACAGGUUUUUGAUAACUUUAAGAUGACACCAUUGGCCUGGAAAUACCUCUUAUUGUUUACACAAUGAAGUCUCAACUUGGAUGGAAGCCCAACUGCAACACGGCCUCCUAAAAUGAGACGCAACUGUUCAACUGAACUGAACUAUUCUCAGGACUAAAAGGCUGUGUCAAUAAGAUAAGGGGGAUAUUUGUUCUUCUGUGUGUUCCAAUCCGUGUUUUUCUUUCCCUUCGUUGAUCUCUUGUUUCACAACUUCCAACCCAAAUCUGCUCACAGCUACUAACUUGGCUUUUAACAUAUGAAACUUUCUAAAAGUAAAGUUUCAAAUGGGGAAUGAAGAGGCUCAGAAUACAGUACCCCAAAACAUGUCACUCAGAACACAUCAUCCCCAAAUGUGCCACUUUGGCAUCAGAAUUAUUUUAAACUAAAGGCACAUAAAAACAGGAGAUGCAAGAAGAUCACUCUGACCUUCACUGUUCUUUAAGAGCCAGAGACGAAAUUCCCAUGUGAAAGGUGUUCUCCCUAAACCAAGAAGAAAGUAACAUUCUCAUCACAAAGGAUAGGAAGUUGAGGCUGAUAGGAAUCUAUACGAGCAUCCCUUAUGUUCCUAAUUACUUAUUUACCCAGUUAUUUACCCUAGCAUAAGCCCCUUUGCCUUGUUACAUUUUCACAAUUCAGGGCAUAAAUGUUUGACUCUAGCUGCUGCUUUGUGUCUUCAUUUCCUUAUGAAGGCUCUCCUGCCAUUAAAACACUUGCAUUAAAUAAUUUAUAUGCUUUUCUCCUGUUGAUUUGUCUUAUGUCUAUUUAAUUCUGCAGGCCCAGGCAACAAACAAACAAACAAGAAAACAAAACACAAACAAAAAACCCCCAACAACAACAACAACACCAAAACCGUGAAAGAGGAGGGGCAAAUUUUUGCCUCCUCUUCUGCAUUUUUCACAUGCUUUAUCCUGUUUUCGCUGCUUUACUUUCUGGCACUAUAAGGUGUUCCAGGCUCAUCUUGUAUUUAUUUUCCCUAUCCUAGCCCUGGAAUCAGCCACUUCUACACUUCUUGAAGGAGUCCUGGUUCCUUUCAUUGGGGAAUGGCAUUUCGAAAUCAAGAUCUGAGUGCUGGCUGUGUUCAUUGCUACUGGUGUCACUGCUCGUAGUCUCCUCUCUCUCAGUGGGCAGAGCUAGGUCAUUCAUGCUUUGGUACUCAAUGAAAUAAAAGAGGGCACAAACAAAUGCUCAUGGAUAGGAAGAAUCAGUAUCAUGAAAAUGGCCAUACUGCCCAAGGUAAUUUAUAGAUUCAAUGCCAUCUCCAUCAAGCUACCAAUGACUUUCUUCACAGAAUUGGAAAAAACUACUUUAAAGUUCCUAUGGAACCGAAAAAGAGCCCGCAUUGCCAAGUCAAUCCUAAGCCAAAAGAACAAAGCUGGAGGCACCACGCUACUUGACUUCAAACUAUACUACAAGGCUACAGUAACCAAAACAGCAUGGUACUGGUACCAAAGCAGAGAUAUAGACCAAUGGAACAGAACAGAGUCCUCACAAAUAAUAUCACAUCUACAACCAUCUGAUCUUUGACAAACCUGACAAAAACAAGCAAUGGGGAAAGGAUUCCCUAUUUAAUAAAUGGUGCUGGGAAAACUGGCUAGCCAUAUGUAGAAAGCUGAAACUGGAUCCCUUCCUUACACCUUAUACAAAAAUCAAUUCAAGAUGGAUUAAAGACUUAAAUGUUAGACCUAAAACCAUAAAAACCCUAGAAGAAAACCUAGGCAAUACCAUUCAGUACAUAGGCAUGGGCAAGGACUUCAUGUCUAAAACACCAAAAGCAAUGGCAACAAAAGCCAAAAUUGACAAAUGGGAUCUACUUAAACUAAAGAGCUUCUGCACAGCAAAAGAAACUACCAUCAGAAUGAACAGGCAACCUAUAGAAAGGGAGAAAAUUUUUGCAAUCUACUCAUCUGACCAAGGGCUAAUAUCCAGAAUCUACAAAGAACUCAAACAAAUUUACAAGAAAAAAACAAACAACCCCAUCAAAAAGUGGGUGAAGGAUAUGAACAGACACUUCUCAAAAGAAGACAUUUAUGCAGCCGACAGACACAUAAAAAAUGCUCAUCAUCACUGGUCAUCAGAGAAAUGCAAAUCAAAACCACAGUGAGAUACCAUCUCACACCAGUUAGAAUGGCGAUCAUUAAAAAGUCAGGAAACAACAGGUGCGGGAGAGGAUGUGGAGAAAUAGGAACACUUUUACACUGUUCGUGAACUGUAAACUAGUUCAACCAUUGUGGAAGACAGUGUGGUGAUUCCUCAGGGAUCUAGAACUAGAAAUACCAUUUGACCCAGUCAUCCCAUUACUGGUUAUAUACCCAAAGGAUUAUAAAGCAUGCUGCUAUAAAGACACGUGCACACGUAUGUUUAUCGUGGCACUAUUCACAACAGCAAACACUUGGAACCAACCGGAAUGUUCAUCUAUGAUAGACUGGGUUAAGAAAAUGUGGCACAUAUACACCAUGGAAUACUAUGAAGCCAUAAAAAAGGAUGAGUUCAUGUCCUUUGCAGGGACAUGGAUGAUGCUGGAAACCAUCAUUCUCAGCAAACUAUCGCAAGGACAAAAAACCAAACACUGCAUGUUCUCACUCAUAGGUGGGAAUUGAACAAUGAGAACAGUUGGACACAGGAAGGGGAACAUCACACACCAGGUCCUGUUGUGGGGUGGGAGGAGGGGAGAGGGAUAGCAUUAGGAGAUAUACCUAAUGUAAAUGACGAGUUAAUGGGUGUAGCACACCAACAUGGCACAUGUAUACAUAUGUAACAAACCUGCACGUUGUGCACAUGUACCCUAGAACUUAAAGUAUAAUAAAAUGAAAUUUGCCUUGA